UAAGGAAUAUUGGUCAAUGGACGCAAGUCUGAACCAGCCAUGCCGCGUGAAGGAUGAAGGUCCUCUGGAUUGUAAACUUCUUUUAUAGGGGACGAAAUCUGUAUUUCUAUGCAGUCUGACGGUACCCUAGGAAUAAGCACCGGCUAACUCCGUGCCAGCAGCCGCGGUAAUACGGAGGGUGCAAGCGUUAUCCGGAUUCACUGGGUUUAAAGGGUGCGUAGGAGGGCAGGUAAGUCAGUGGUGAAAUCUCUGGGCUUAACCCGGAAACUGCCAUUGAUACUAUCUGUCUUGAAUAUGGUGGAGGUCAGCGGAAUAUGUCAUGUAGCGGUGAAAUGCUUAGAUAUGACAUAGAACACCGAUUGCGAAGGCAGCUGGCUACGCCUAUAUUGACUCUGAGGCACGAAAGCGUGGGGAUCAAACAGGAUUAGAUACCCUGGUA
rnacentral:rRNA from 1 species